GUGACUGAGGUGUAAACGGUGGCACGCCUGUUUGAAGCACAGGAGGAUGUUGGUUCGACUCCAACCGGUCACA
rnacentral:tRNA from 1 species